AGUGAACGCUGGCGGCGUGCUUAACACAUGCAAGUCGAACGAGAACGGGUUAUAGCUUGCUAUAAUUGUCAGCUAAGUGGCGCACGGGUGAGUAAUGUAUAGGUAAUAUGCCUCUUACUAAGGGAUAACAAAUGGAAACGUUUGCUAAUACCUUAUACUCCUUAUUAACAGAAGUUAAUAAGGGAAAGAUUUAUUGGUAAGAGAUUAGCCUGUAUUGUAUUAGUUAGUUGGUGGGGUAAUGGCUUACCAAGACUAUGACACAUAACUGGUUUGAGAGGAUGAUCAGUCACACUGGAACUGAGACACGGUCCAGACUCCUACGGGGGGCAGCAGUGGGGAAUAUUGCACAAUGGACGAAAGUCUGAUGCAGCAACGCCGCGUGGAGGGUGACACAUUUCGGUGCGUAAACUCCUUUUAUAUGAGAAGAUAAUGACGGUAUUAUAUGAAUAAGCACCGGCUAACUCCGUGCCAGCCGCCGCCGUAA
rnacentral:rRNA from 1 species